rnacentral:other from 1 species
CCCCUGCAGUGUUCGAUACUGCGCUGAAUUCCCCUGGCCCAUAAUUCUACAGUCGGGGACAUGACGUUGGUGCCGUGUGCAUGUCCGCGUGACGGAAAGCCUGACGCGCCAAUCGUUGUCCCCACUUAUCGCUCUGGUUCCAGGGGCGAUGGUGCAAACGGCACAGGUGGGGG